rnacentral:rRNA from 1 species
GACGAACGCUGGCGGCGUGCCUAAUACAUGCAAGUUGAGCGCUGAAGGUUGGUACUUGUACCAACUGGAUGAGCAGCGAACGGGUGAGUAACGCGUGGGGAAUCUGCCUUUGAGCGGGGGACAACAUUUGGAAACGAAUGCUAAUACCGCAUAAAAACUUUAAACACAAGUUUUAAGUUUGAAAGAUGCAAUUGCAUCACUCAAAGAUGAUCCCGCGUUGUAUUAGCUAGUUGGUGAGGUAAAGGCUCACCAAGGCGAUGAUACAUAGCCGACCUGAGAGGGUGAUCGGCCACAUUGGGACUGAGACACGGCCCAAACUCCUACGGGAGGCAGCAGUAGGGAAUCUUCGGCAAUGGACGAAAGUCUGACCGAGCAACGCCGCGUGAGUGAAGAAGGUUUUCGGAUCGUAAAACUCUGUUGGUAGAGAAGAACGUUGGUGAGAGUGGAAAGCUCAUCAAGGGACGGUAACUACCCAGAAAGGGACGGCGAACUAC